rnacentral:rRNA from 1 species
AAUAGAUACCCAGGUAGUCCACGCCGUAAACGAUGAGUGCUAAGUGUUGGGGGUUUCCGCCCCUCAGUGCUGCAGCUAACGCAUUAAGCACUCCGCCUGGGGAGUACGGUCGCAAGACUGAAACUCAAAGGAAUUGACGGGGGCCCGCACAAGCGGUGGAGCAUGUGGUUUAAUUCGAAGCAACGCGAAGAACCUUACCAGGUCUUGACAUCCCGGUGACCACUAUGGAGACAUAGUUUCCCCUUCGGGGGCAACGGUGACAGGUGGUGCAUGGUUGUCGUCAGCUCGUGUCGUGAGAUGUUGGGUUAAGUCCCGCAACGAGCGCAACCCUUAUUCUUAGUUGCCAUCAUUCAGUUGGGCACUCUAAGGAGACUGCCGGUGAUAAACCGGAGGAAGGUGGGGAUGACGUCAAAUCAUCAUGCCCCUUAUGACCUGGGCUACACACGUGCUACAAUGGACGGUACAAACGGUUGCCAACCCGCGAGGGGAGCUAAUCCGAUAAAACCGUUCUCAGUUCGGAUUGUGGGCUGCAACUCGCCUAC